UACGGAGGAUGCAAGCGUUAUCCGGAAUGAUUGGGCGUAAAGCGUCCGCAGGUGGCUAUGUAAGUCUGCUGUUAAAGAGUCUAGCUCAACUAGAUAAGAGCAGUGGAAACUACAAGGCUAGAGUACGUUCGGGGCAGAGGGAAUUCCUGGUGUAGCGGUGAAAUGCGUAGAGAUCAGGAAGAACACCAGUGGCGAAGGCGCUCUGCUAGGCCGUAACUGACACUGAGGGACGAAAGCUAGGGGAGCGAACAGG
rnacentral:rRNA from 1 species